ACUCAAAGGAAUUGACGGGGGCCCGCACAAGCGGUGGAACAUGUGGUUUAAUUCGAUGCUACGCGAAACACCUCACCAAGGUUUGACAUGCAAGAAGUAGCGAACUGAAAGGGGAGCGACUCGUUAAAUCGAGAGCUUGCACAGGUGCUGCAUGGCUGUCGUCAGCUCGUGUCGUGAGAUGUUGGGUUAAGUCCCGCAACGAGCGCAACCAUUGUCCUAUGUUGCUACUUCAUUCCGGCUUGCCGGCGUGAAGGCACUCUUAGGAGACUGCCUGGGAUAACCAGGAGGAAGGUGGAGAUGACGUCAAGUCAGUACGGCCCUUAUGCCUUGGGCCACACACGUGUUACAAUGGAUAGUACAGAGGGUUGCCAACCCGCGAGGGGGAGCUAAUCUCAAAAACCUAUCCCCAGUUCAGAUUGAAGUCUGCAAUUCGACUUCAUGAAGCCGGAAUCGCUAGUAAUGGCGGAUCAGCAUGCCGCCGUGAAUACGUUCCCGGGCCUUGUACACACCGCCCGU
rnacentral:rRNA from 1 species